CACGUAGGGCGCAAGCGUUGUCCGGAAUUAUUGGGCGUAAAGAGCUCGUAGGCGGUCUGUCGCGUCGGCUGUGAAAUCCCGGAGCUCAACUCCGGGCCUGCAGUCGAUACGGGCAGACUGGAGUUCGGCAGGGGAGACUGGAAUUCCUGGUGUAGCGGUGAAAUGCGCAGAUAUCAGGAGGAACACCGGUGGCGAAGGCGGGUCUCUGGGCCGAUACUGACGCUGAGGAGCGAAAGCGUGGGGAGCGAACAGG
rnacentral:rRNA from 1 species